GUAGGGAAUAUUGGGCAAUGGAUGCAAGUCUGACCCAGCCAUCCCGCGUGCCGGAAGAAGGCCCUCAGGGUUGUAAACGGCUUUUGACGGUGAAGAAUCGACAGGAUGCGUCCUGUUUUGACGGUAGCCGUUGAAUAAGCACCGGCUAACUCCGUGCCAGCAGCCGCGGUAAUACGGAGGGUGCGAGCGUUGUCCGGAUUUAUUGGGUUUAAAGGGUGCGUAGGCUGGAAGGUCAGUCAGCGGUGAAAAGCUGUCGCUUAACGAUAGUCUUGCCGCAGAUACUUCCUUUCUUGGAUGAGGAGGAGGCCACUGGAACGGAUGGUGUAGCGGUGAAAUGCAUAGAUAUCAUCCAGAACACCGAUUGCGAAGGCAGGUGGCUGUACCUUAAUCGACGCUGAUGCACGAAAGCAUGGGGAGCAAACAGGAUUAGAAACCCGUGUAGUCC
rnacentral:rRNA from 1 species